AAACUUUCAACAACGGAUCUCUUGGCUCUGGCAUCGAUGAAGAACGCAGCGAAAUGCGAUAAGUAAUGUGAAUUGCAGAAUUCAGUGAAUCAUCGAAUCUUUGAACGCACAUUGCGCCCGCCAGCACUCUGGCGGGCAUGCCUGUUCGAGCGUCGAUA
rnacentral:rRNA from 1 species